rnacentral:misc_RNA from 1 species
UUUCCGUAGGUGAACCUGCGGAGGGAUCAUUAUUGUAUAACCAAGGUGCAAAGGCCGUCGCUGACCCGAAUGGCCGUGCACGCCCGAGAGCCCUCACACGCAAACAUCUCACCCCUAUCUGCACCACCGCGUAGGUCCCCCUUUGGCUUGUUAGGUGGGGGGCUUACGUUUUCACACACAAUAUUUAUGACAUGUAGAAUGUAUUUUUUGUUUUUGCGAUCAAGCGAUCCAUACAACUUUAACAAACGGCUCACUUGCCUCCCGCAUCCAUAAAGACUGUAAAAGGGUUUCCGUCGCUGAACCACCGUAUGCCUCAUUAUAGGUAAACGUGGUAGCAAGGUCUCCCGUGGUCACGCAGCGCCGGGAUCGUCACAGUGCCCUCACCCCCAACCCCCCCGCCCCUAUACGACUCACCGCGUGGGUCGCCCUUCGGCCUGUUGGUAGGGGGGGUUACGUUUUCACACAAACUUUGUAUGCCGGGUAGAAUAUAUUUUUUGUUUGUGCGAUCACGCAAUAAAUACAACUUUCAACAACGGAUCUCUUGGCUCUC